rnacentral:rRNA from 1 species
UUCCCUACGGGGGGCUGCAGGCGCGAAACCUCUGCAAUGCGGGAAACCGUGACAGGGGGAUCCCAAGUGCUCAUGCAUUGCAUGGGCUGUUCUUUGGUCUAAGUAACCAGAGGAGUAAGGGCUGGGCAAGACCGGUGCCAGCCGCCGCGGUAAUACCGGCAGCUCAAGUGGUAGCCGCGAUUAUUGGGCCUAAAACGUUCGUAGCCGGAUAAGUAAGUCUUUGGUUAAAUCCUGCGACUUAACCGUGGGAAAUCUAGAGAUACUGCUUGUCUUGAGACCGGGAGAGGUUGGAGGUACUCCUAGGGUAGGGGUGAAAUCCUGUAAUCCUAGGGGGACCACCUGUGGCGAAGGCGUCCAACUGGAACGGGUCUGACGGUGAGGGACGAAACCUAGGGGAGCGAGCCGGAUUAGAUACCCUGGUAGUC